CCUUCUGACUAGAAAACUGCAGAGAAGUGAGAGACACAGUAAAUAUGUGUUGGUUCUUAAACUUCUGCUCAUAUUUGACACAACACUUCUGCCUUUAUUUUGUUGGACAAAGCAUUAAAAAAGUACUUCAUUGUGAAGGAGACUGGAAACAACAGUCAGGAGAGUUCACAAAGGACCAAGUCAGGAAGGAACCACUCCUGAGUCUCACAUGGAAGGUUCGCUCACAAGCAUCAGAGCAAGAUUUUAGCUGCAGCAGAUACCAUGCAGGGCUCCCUGGAAGGUUGCUCCAGUGAGUCACCCUGUACCUAACAGAGAAACUUAAUCAUAUGUGGUUGUUUGCUGCUUUGCUUGUUUUGAAACUACUUAUAGA